rnacentral:rRNA from 1 species
GACGAACCGUGCGAACGUUGUUCGGAAUCACUGGGCAUAAAGGGCGCGUAGGCGGCUUUUCAAGUCAGGGGUGAAAUCCGGCAGCUCAACUGUCGAAGUGUCCUUGAUACUGAUGAGCUCGAGGAAGGUAGGGGUGUGUGGAACUUCCGGUGGAGCGGUGAAAUGCGUUGAUAUCGGAAGGAACGCCGGUGGCGAAAGCGACGCACUGGACCUCUUCUGACGCUGAGGCGCGAAAGCUAGGGGAGCAAACGGG